UGGGGAAUAUUGCACAAUGGGCGCAAGCCUGAUGCAGCCAUGCCGCGUGUGUGAAGAAGGCCUUCGGGUUGUAAAGCACUUUCAGCGAGGAGGAAGGUGGUGAGCUUAAUACGCUCAUCAAUUGACGUUACUCGCAGAAGAAGCACCGGCUAACUCCGUGCCAGCAGCCGCGGUAAUACGAAGGGUGCAAGCGUUAAUCGGAAUUACUGGGCGUAAAGCGCACGCAGGUGGUUUGUUAAGUCAGAUGUGAAAUCCCCGGGCUCAACCUGGGAACUGCAUUUGAAACUGGCAAGCUAGAGUCUCGUAGAGGGGGGUAGAAUUCCAGGUGUAGCGGUGAAAUGCGUAGAGAUCUGGAGGAAUACCGGUGGCGAAGGCGGCCCCCCUGGACGAAGACUGACGCUCGGGUGCGAAAGCGUGGGGCAGCAAACAGGAUUAGAUACCCUGGUAGUCCACGCUGUAAACGAUGUCGAUUUGGAGGUUGUGCCCUUGAGGCGUGGCUUCCGGAGCUAACGCGUUAAAUCGACCGCCUGGGGAGUACGGCCGCGAGGUUAAAACUCAAAGGAAUUGAC
rnacentral:rRNA from 1 species